rnacentral:rRNA from 1 species
ACGAACGCUGGCGGCGUGCUUAACACAUACAAGUCGAACGGAAAGGCCCUGCUUGCAGGGUACUCGAGUGGCGAACGGGUGAGUAACACGUGGGUGAUCUGCCCUGCACUUCGGGAUAAGCCUGGGAAACUGGGUCUAAUACCGGAUAGGAGCCAUUUUUAGUGUGAUGGUUGGAAAGUUUUUUCGGUGUAGGAUGAGCUCGCGGCCUAUCAGCUUGUUGGUGGGGUAAUGGCCUACCAAGGCGGCGACGGGUAGCCGGCCUGAGAGGGUGGACGGCCACAUUGGGACUGAGAUACGGCCCAGACUCCUACGGGAGGCAGCAGUGGGGAAUAUUGCACAAUGGGCGCAAGCCUGAUGCAGCGACGCCGCGUGGGGGAUGACGGCCUUCGGGUUGUAAACUCCUUUCGCUAGGGACGAAGCUUUUUGUGACGGUACCUAGAUAAGAAGCACCGGCUAACUACGUG